rnacentral:rRNA from 1 species
UGUUUCGGCAAGGGGGUCAUCCCGACUUACCAACCCGAUGCAAACUGCGAAUACCGGAGAAUGUUAUCACGGGAGACACACGGCGGGUGCUAACGUCCGUCGUGAAGAGGGAAACAACCCAGACCGCCAGCUAAGGUCCCAAAGUCAUGGUUAAGUGGGAAACGAUGUGGGAAGGCCCAGACAGCCAGGAUGUUGGCUUAGAAGCAGCCAUCAUUUAAAGAAAGCGUAAUAGCUCACUGGUCGAGUCGGCCUGCGCGGAAGAUGUAACGGGGCUAAACCAUGCACCGAAGCUGCGGCAGCGACACUAUGUGUUGUUGGGUAGGGGAGCG